rnacentral:rRNA from 1 species
GGAGUUAGCCGGUGCUUCUUCUGCGAGUAACGUCACAGAUGUAAGGUAUUAACUUACACCCUUUCCUCCUCGCUGAAAGUGCUUUACAACCCGAAGGCCUUCUUCACACACGCGGCAUGGCUGCAUCAGGGUUUCCCCCAUUGUGCAAUAUUCCCCACUGCUGCCUCCCGUAGGAGUCUGGGCCGUGUCUCAGUCCCAGUGUGGCUGAUCAUCCUCUCAGACCAGCUAGGGAUCGUCGCCUAGGUGAGCCUUUACCUCACCUACUAGCUAAUCCCACCUGGGCUUAUCCAUCAGCGCAAGGCCCGAAGGUCCCCUGCUUUCCCCCGGUAGGGCGUAUGCGGUAUUAGCAGUCGUUUCCAACUGUUAUCCCCCGACAAACUGGGCAAAUUCCCAGGCAUUACUCACCCGUCCGCCGCUCGUCAUCUUCAAAACGCAAGCUUUUAGAAACUGUUACCGCUCGACUUGCAUGUGUUAGGCCUGCCGCCAGCGUUCAAUCUGAACCAAGAUCAAAUUCUGA